GAUGAAGAUCGCAGCGAAAUGCGAUAAGUAGUGUGAAUUGCAGAAUUCAGUGAAUCAUCGAAUCUUUGAACGCACAUUGCGACCUUUGGUAUUCCAAAGGGCAUGCCUGUUCGAGCGUCAUUUGUACCCUCAAGCUUUGCUUGGUGUUGGGCGUCUUGUCUCUAGCUUUGCUGGAGACUCGCCUUAAAGUAAUUGGCAGCCGGCCUACUGGUUUCGGAGCGCAGCACAAGUCGCACUCUCUAUCAGCAAAGGUCUAGCAUCCAUUAAGCCUUUUUUUUCAACUUUUGACCUCGGAUCAGGUAGGGAUACCCGCUGAACUUAAGCAUAUCAAUAAGCGGAGGA
rnacentral:misc_RNA from 1 species